rnacentral:lncRNA from 1 species
GUAUUUAAUUCUGUGUUUAUUCGUGGGCUGAGGUGAUUUCUUCUUUACUCUGUUUGGAACAGCCUGCUUCUGGAAGGAAUCAGACCAAAGGACCAGGAUGGAAUGGGAAAUUUCGGGCAGUUCAGAUUUAGUUAAUUUGGCAAACCUGCUUGCUCAUACCCUAGAUGAGUCCACUAAAAGACUGCGAAAAUCCUCAAAUUUUUCAACUCCAGCAGAGUAGCCUGCCUUCAGCUUCUCCCGGCCAUCCUGGCAUCUCCGGCCGAGGCCUCUGCUUUGUGCCCUGCAGCCUGGCUUCCUGAGGCCUGGUAAGUUCUUGUAGCUGGUCUGUGCUUUAUUUCAGUAGUACUGUAUUGACUUGAUGGCUGCCU